UUAUAGCCCCCGAUGUGCCCAGAGCCCUGUGAGGCUUUGGACACAAUCCCACACAAGAGCCCGAGCCCCACACUGCAGAGCCCUGGCUUUGGAGGGUGGGCUAUUUGGGGCACAAGCCAUGGGCCAGAUGGACGCAGCCAGAGGGUUGUGGCUUUUGGCUUUGGUUACCAAUGGAUCAGACUUUUUCCCCCAGAAAUGAAAGAUCAUAGAAUCUUUGUGUCCAGGAGGCUGAGGCCUACUCACCUGACUUGUGGAACAGUAACCCUACUAGAAUUUUCUAAAGCAUCUAACAUCUUUCUCAUUGCACUUAAGAGCCCAGAGUGGUCUGCAGAUGCAACAGAGGUCUAAUUAAGACACGGAAAAAUUAAUGGAAAUAUCCUUUCAGUCCUCUUGGAAAAAUACCUAAGUUCUAAAAUAAAUGCUGAAGAGAUAUGAUAAG